ACCUGUUUGGCUCAGUGGAUAGAGCGUUGGUCUGUGGGCCGAAGGGUCCCGGGUUCAAUUCCUGGCAAAGGCA
rnacentral:tRNA from 1 species